rnacentral:rRNA from 1 species
AUUGAACGCUGGCGGCAUGCCUUACACAUGCAAGUCGAACGGUAACGCGGGGCAACCUGGCGACGAGUGGCGAACGGGUGAGUAAUGUAUCGGAACGUGCCCAGUUGUGGGGGAUAACUGCUCGAAAGAGCAGCUAAUACCGCAUACGACCUGAGGGUGAAAGCGGGGGAUCGCAAGACCUCGCGCAGUUGGAGCGGCCGAUAUCAGAUUAGGUAGUUGGUGGGGUAAAGGCUCACCAAGCCAACGAUCUGUAGCUGGUCUGAGAGGACGACCAGCCACACUGGGACUGAGACACGGCCCAGACUCCUACGGGAGGCAGCAGUGGGGAAUUUUGGACAAUGGGCGCAAGCCUGAUCCAGCCAUGCCGCGUGCGGGAAGAAGGCCUUCGGGUUGUAAACCGCUUUUGUCAGGGAAGAAAAGACUCCUGUUAAUACCGGGGGUUCAUGACGGUACCUGAAGAAUAAGCACCGGCUAACUACGUGCCAGCCGCCGCAGUAA